GGUUAAGGGAUUCUUGUCGCAKGAGAGAUGGUACGAGCUACGCUAUGGCUAACAGCAUGUUCCAUCCUCCUGUGACAUGAACCCCUUUAU
rnacentral:pre_miRNA from 1 species